rnacentral:rRNA from 1 species
AUUGAACGCUGGCGGCGUGCCUAACACAUGCAAGUCGAGCGGUAACAGGUGUAGCAAUACAUGCUGACGAGCGGCGGACGGGUGAGUAACGCUUGGGAAUCUGCCUGUUAGUGGGGGACAACCCGGGGAAACUCGGGCUAAUACCGCAUACGCACUACGGUGGAAAGCCGGGGACCGCAAGGCCUGGCGCUAACAGAUGAGCCCAAGUCGGAUUAGCUAGUUGGUAGGGUAACGGCCACCAAGGCGACGAUCCGUAACUGGUCUGAGAGGACGACCAGUCACACCGGAACUGAGACACGGUCCGGACUCCUACGGGAGGCAGCAGUGGGGAAUAUUGGACAAUGGCGAAAGCCUGAUCCAGCGACGCCGCGUGGGUGAAGAAGGCCUGCGGGUUGUAAAGCCCUUU